rnacentral:tRNA from 1 species
GCGGACGUAGCUCAGUUGGUAGAGCGCAACCUUGCCAAGGUUGAGGUCGCGAGUUCGAACCGCGUCGUCCGCU